GUUGCGGCCGACGUCGACGCCGUAGCCCAGCGCGGGCGGGGGCGGGCUCGUUACCCAGAGAGCCCCGCGGCGCCCGGGUGAGCCCGAGGUCCACAGCCCGACCCGGAAGCACUACCUCGGGGGCCGGCCCCGGCGCCCUUAAACUCCGACUUCCCCGGCGCGGCCGUACUUUCAGCAGAGAGACCCGGCAGCUCGUGGAGCUCCCGCCCCGCGACCUCGGCCUGCCCCGAGGGGGUCCGCGAGGGCGCGUGCGGGCGCACGGGUGCCGGCGGGGGUCGCAGGCCUCCCCGGGGGGCCGCGAGCGCGAAGGAUUGGCGCGCGCCGUUCUUGCCUCCAGAACGGAGUCCGCGGGGGAGAGGAGUAACUGAAUGCGAGGCUUCUGCAAAGCCCGGGGAACAGCAGGAGUUGCUCCCGGGAUGGAGGGGAAGGGAGCUUGGCCUUCGUCCUGCAGUGGGAGCCUUCGGAGGAACCCCUCUGGAGUCCUCAGCAGUCCCACCAGGCGGCCUCAGCGGUGUGCUCACGGAACCGGACAGCAGUGCUGCCUCUCGCACCUGUACAGAGUCCGAGCUGCGGUAUUCGUUCUCUGUUGCUGUACGGCUAACCCGGACUUUCAGCACGACUAGUGCAAGAACCCACGUGAGGUGGUGGGAAAGCCUGGGUGGGGUAUGCUGGGGAGGAGAUUGCAGGGUAGAAGCCUGGGUGGGACAGGUCCAGACACUUGGAGAUACUAGCGACUGCACCCACCUCAAUUGCCCAGACCGAGAGGCCACCACUGGCUUUCACUCCUGGUGAAACUUACCCUGCAGCUCGUGUAGUGCCAACCAAGACCCAGCCUCUCUUCAUCUCCCCUACCCCCAGGCUCUCAGCUCCAGGAUGUCCCCGCUCUGUGGACUGAGCAGCAUUGUUCGGGAAAGGUGGAACUUUCUCCUCAAGGAAACAGCUUAUUUCUCAUUGGCCCUGCCUGGGUGGUUCUCCCAUCCGCUAAGCAGUGGCCAGGAAAGAGGGAAAAGCUGAUGGCUCUAGCCAGUCAGAGCCAGGCUUACCUGAACGAAAACUUGGGUCCUGCUGCUGGAGGGGGAGUGGGUGCUGGGAGCAGCCCUCGGUUGUUUAGCAUAUCGUUGUGUUCCUUUAUUGAGAUGGACAAAGGAAAGGCAGCUCCUCUAUAGGAGCUCAUUGUACAGAGCUCAGUUCCACACACCAAAGGAGUCUUUAUGUGCUCCACCUUUGUGUGUAUGCCAGACCCACUUACUGAUGAGUGGUGUGCUCUGAGCACUUUAUGUGCAUAGCCAGGCACUAAACUAGGUACAGCCAGGGACACUGAACAAGACUAAACAAGCCCCACACCUCCAAAUGGUCUGGUGGUCAUCAGACAGAGGGACAAGAGCCAGGAGGAGGGACCUGUUGGGCCAGUACAGUAACUGGAGCCAGAAGAGAUGCUGGGCUGUAGUGAGGACAAAGAAAAGUGGACAGAUCCAAGAGAUCACCAAGUGGUAGGUGGCCAGGAUUUGACUGGCUCUCCAUGGGUCUGGGAGUGGGUCUUGAGUCUACAAUGGGAACCCAGAAUGACUUCCAGGGGACUGCUAGCAAAGGAUGGAGGACCCAGCAUGGGAGCAUUAGGAGUGGGAGGGGGGAAGGUGGGCACUGCCAGAUAAAUGCAGACAAAUGCUACUGUGGGCCUCGAGAACUUAGCUGAGGGCAGAGGGUGUGUGUGGAAGGGUGAAGUCAGGGCCGAGCAGAGGGAGAUAGUGCAGAGAAGAGGGGAGGAAGUCCAUGGUCCUUGGAAGGCAAGGACUGACUCUGUCUGUUGGAUUGUGGUUCAGGAUGGCUUUGGUAAAAGUUACCUGGGCAUGAUGGGGCCGACUACAGACCCAGUGGCAGGAAGCAAGAGGUAGAGACCAGAGCUGGCCAAGAGGGGAACAGACUCAAGCUGGAGGGAGCUCAGAGUACAUGCGAGAGAAGCCGAGGGUAGAAGCAGCUCACCAAUAGGGACCUGGACCUGAGGAGGGGGAUGGAUGCCCCUGCAAGGCAGCAGGCAGAGAUGGAUGGACAUAAGGGAGGUGCAGAGUUAGAGCUGCUGUGAGUGAGCAUGUGGGGAAAUUGUUCUUGGACUUGACUCUACACUUAAUGAAGUAGAAUAUCUGGAGAAGGGAUCCAAAACCCUUAUGUUCAGGCCUCCCCACAGGUGAUGUGAUCGUCACCUGUGAGCACUCAGGUGAGACUGGAACCAGGAGAGCCACCCAGCUUGCUGCUCUUACUGGCCUGGGGAGUGAGGUAGAAAGCAGAGAAACUGGAAGUGGGGCACUCAGUGGCCAAAGAGCUGAGCAAUGGAGUCCCUGCUGGAAGGUGAAGACCAGGGGAGGGCUAGAAGGAUGGAAGACUAAGUCAAGCAUAGGCAGGGCCAGAGUGGGGCUGGGGGGCUUUGGGUUCUGGACACGCUACCAGCACAGCCCUGAGCGGGGAGCCAAGGUCAGAGUUCACAGAGAUCGGGCUCAAACUCCCCCAGCUGUAGAAGAUCAUGCUCAGCCGACCCCUCACCUCUGACAGGGCACCCAAGGCACGUGUGCUUAUGCCAGAAACACAACUCAGAACGCUGAACGCCACACGAGCUUUAUUUGUACAGUCCGUAAGAUUUCUAGAUCUGUCCCAGUGAGGGAAAGAGGAGCCUCUUAAACCUGUUACUAAAAUUGUUGAACACACAGUGUUGACAAGUAAUUCUUAGCCCCUAUUUUAACUACUGUGAUUAUCGGGGGGGGGAAAAAACCUUUCCUAAGACACUCAGCUGCAAAGGGCAGGCAGUGUUGGAAUCCCCCUCAGUGAUCCUGCACCACUCUGGAAAAUAUGCCUUCGGGCUCUUUCCCAUCCCCCAGGGCAGCAGCAAAUCCUUCCUGUCGCCUCCUUUUGGACAAAGCAGCCAAAGAUUUAAAAGUCUUUGGUUCAUAGAUGGCUAGAUCCGCAAGUACUUUCCUGUUGAGCUCCACCUGGCACU